CAAAACAACGGUAAUAGUAAUAUCAAUAACAAACCGGAAGACGAAGUCUGAUAAUUUAACAUCAUACAAACUGCGGAAUUCUAAAUACAGCUCUACCCAGAAUUUGGUGUCACUAUUUUACAAACUGUCUAAGAAUACUACAAAUAAAGUCAGAAUAGAAAUACACGAAUCUAUCUCUAAAUAAGUAAAAACAGAAAAGAAAUGAUAGAAGGAGACGCCAAGGCCAGCGGAUGCCUCUAGGACUACCUCAGGUCGCCUGUUGGACUGAAGUAAGCAACCUCGCUACAGUCCAAACGCUCUUGUAACAGUAUCUGCACACAGUGGAGAGUGUAGUAUCAGCACAACUGGCCCCAAGUGCUUGUAAGCGCCUAGCCUAACCUCGGCGAAGUAGUGACGAGGCUAGGACUAGACUACCAAAUAAACAUGUGUAGAUAAAUCAUAUACAAUAAAAAAUAAAAGCAGAUAUUCAUAGUUAAUGCUGGGAGGGAAAAACAUGCCAUGGGCACUACCAGUGGAAAACAAAAUACAAAAGAGGAAUGUAAAGAAACCAGAAUUUAGUUACUAACAAUAAUGAGGAAAACAAUACUUUCAUUUCUUUCUUGUUACAGGUGUACAAUCCGAUCUCAUUUCAUAUAUUUUGUUGCAGGCGUGCAACCCGCUCCCACACCAUAUAUCUCAUUGCAGGUGUGCGACCCGCUCCUAUUUCAUAUAUCAUGUUGCAGGCGUGCAACCCGAUCCCAUGUACAAAUCAACAUCAAUCACAAAAGAAUCCUGGCAAGGGAAAAAAAGUAUAACAACAACACCCCGACAAGGGAGACAAUAUCAUAAACAAUAACAUCCGGCAAGGAAACCAACAAUGAUAGUCAACAUAUUAAACGUGAAUAAAUCUCAACGGAGUCACAACAAUUACAGCACUAGACCCAUGGGCAUGCUUGACACUGACGUAUAGAUAGUCGUCACCAUGUCUAUACAUCAUACUCCACAAUUAACAAAUAGAAAUUAAGAUACAACUUCUAAUCCCUAAAGCUAAGGUUGGACCAAACACUUAUCUCAAACUUCCACGGCCAACUCAAGCCUCAAACACUACCUUUCCUUUAGAAUUUUCCUCCAAAUUACUUGUAUCUAGCCCAAAUUAAUUUAACAACAACAAUUAAUUCUAAAGAAUUCAUAUUCAAUGUGUAAUUAUAGGUUUUCUAUCAUUUCCCCUGUCACACCUCCUUUUUCGCUAUACACGCAAAUGAGUGUAAAGGAGUUUUUCCAAUUAAAGAACAAUCGGAACGGGAUUUAGUUAUUUAAUUUUAGAGUCGCCACUUGGGAGAUUAAUGGUGUCCCAAGACACCGGUUGAAUCCCGAACCGAGGAAAAAGAUGACUCUGUUCACAGUCUACAAACCAGAAAUCCGAAUAAGGAAUUAUGUUAACCCCGGAGAAGGUUUUAGGCAUUCCCGAGUUCCGUGGUUCUAGCAUCCAAUUUUAAUACAUGCCAACUUAUGUGCUUCUUAUUUGUAUACCCCUUUUAUCAUUAUUUAUUUUAAAAGACUUGCGACGUCGUGAAAACGUAUUUCUAACCACGUCACCACCAGUGUACACGUGAUCGUUCACACGUUUCGACUUCGUCGAGAUUUGAACUUGAACUUGGGUUGCAUCAAUGCACACCCGAAUUUCGAAAAGUAAUUUAGUUAAAACGCGCAUAAAGAUUCUAGCGUCUUAUUACUUUGGGGAAGGUCAUGAAAUUCGCUAAACAAUCCUCGCAAAUUCUAAAUAUUUUUAACCUUUAUUGAGGGCCCCGCAGUUAUUUCAUUUGGCAAGGCUUAUCUCAUUUAUUAUUUUAAGGUUAAUCUAAAGUAAGCUAGGGUUCUCUAUUUAAAUAUAUCUAAAGUAAAACAAAAUAGAUCCUAACUAACAGUAACAUUUGAGGAAUAGCCUACAGAAUCGCAUCAACAAUUUCGGGCUCGGAAUAAGCCCAAGAUGAUAUGGCCAACCAUCCAAUGGGGAACCCAUCUCCACCGCUUAUCAGGUUGGACAGCCGUUCCAGGAUCGAGCCUGGAGGAAGGUACCAAUCAACCUCGACUACAGCUUCGAUUGCGAGGCAAUGGAGGAAACUUGUCUAACACUUUCAUUCAAUAACCUUUAAACUAGCAAGGCAUUCAACAUUGACAACCCAGUUUGACCUUUGAUUGCAAAUAAAUUGGUGCUGAUUUCCUCAUCCCUUAUUUACUGAUGAGUUAAUGAUUAUCACUAAAGGUAAACUAGGAAACAUGACUCUAAUUUGACAUCACACAUGAGCAGAUUGAAUAUUAUUUGUUUUGACUGAUUCAAACAAACGUUAGCCACUUAAAAGGACUCACACCUAAUAACAAAACUACUAAACAAGAAGCUGAAACACCAAAUUAUUUGAAUCUAUUUUAUAGCUGUUGAAACGAAUUGGAAAGAUACAGUCCGAUACAGAAUUUAAGCUAGAUAGAGCAGCCAAUUCAAAUAUAAAAAAAAAACCACGAUUCAAAUUGACUACAGCUAAACCAAUGCGUACAAUAAUCUGUUUAAUGAUGAACAACAAGCGUUUAAACUUGGCCAAGCGUUUUAUUUCAUCCUCAGUUCGAAAUUACACUGAUGUGAGUUCAAAUCCAUGUACCUGGAGUGUAAAUCAAGCAACAGGAACAACAGUUAGCCACAGCAAGGCAAUCAGCAUCAAUUGGAACUUAAACAGCUACCACACAGUCGAUUUAUUCCAGAAAUGAUUGCAGAAAUGUUUUAGUUCAAACAGUAUCGGUAGAUCACCCAGAACAGCAUUGAAAUCACUCGACUAAACUUGGAAAUGAACACAAAGCACCUCUGAACCCUUCAGCAAACAACAACUCAACCAAACCAGCAAAAACAGACCCAGAUGUGAAUGUAAUUGAGCUCCAAGGCUUAAAACCAAACCAACAGAUCGAAUAUCAUUCCAAAUUGACUCAAAAUCACAAACCAAAACAAACUCUGAAUUUCAGCAGUCCAACAGUAGGAUUUUUAUGCAAAACUAUUCAAUGAAUCACCUAACUGCAAUAAACGGUGAUUUUUUUUGUAUUUUUCUAACUUUUCUCUGUUUUUUUUGGUUUUUGUCUUCUUUUUGUUGUUUUUGGGUUUUUGGUUUUAAAACUAAAAACUAAAAACUAGAAGGAGAUUAUAAUAUGAGAUUUCGGAUUUUUAAAGAGAGUUGUUGGGGAUUUUUUUUGGCUGAAGGAAGAAGACCCUCUUUCAAGGCAUCUAAUGCCUUCUAUAGAAGUAAAAUAGGGCAGCAAUCAGAUUUUUUUUUUUCUUUCAGUCCCUGCUACCUUUAUUCAGUUAGUCCUCUAAUUCUUAACUUGUUCUUCAAGUAAAUACCCUAAGUCUAUUGAAAACUACACACUAGUCCUAUUCUAGAAGCCUAUGGGGCACUCUUUGAGCAAGACAAACCCUAAAAUACCCUUCCUCUCAAAAUAUCUGCACCCUCACAUGGCUUCCAUUAACCCUUAACUGCCUUGAAAUUACUAACUCUCUAUUAACCAAACCAUUAACCCAGUUAAAAAUUAACUAAGGUUAGCUAAAUAGUUAUAGCCAAUCUCACAAACAAACAAUCGACCCCCAAACCAAAUUCAGAAGCACACCACAAAGAAAUAGAGCCAAUUCCCAAAUCGGUCUUCAAUUGAACAAUUGCGAAAAUUAGUUAAGCUAACAAAUAAUUAACAAUUAAUCAUUUAAACUAACACAGUAUCGAAUACGAAUUAACCUAUUGAUUUUAACAAUCACAAAAAAUGAAGUUAGUUUUAACGUGCUCGACUGAACUAAACAAGACAAUGAAUCACAUUAAAAGAAAAGAAUAGAAGGGAACUUAUGGAUUUUUAUUCUAGCCUCGACUGGCCUCAAAUUUGGCUUCGAGUUAAUGUUAUAUAUUUAUUUCAUAUGAAAUAAAUAUAUAACAUUAACUUAAAAACCAAACUAAC
rnacentral:lncRNA from 1 species